GAUGAAGAACGUAGCGAAAUGCGAUAAGUAGUGUGAAUUGCAGAAUUCCGUGAAUCAUCGAAUCUUUGAACGCACAUUGCGCCUUCUGGUAUUCCGGAAGGCAUGCCUGUUCGAGAGUCAUUAACAACCGUUUCGAUCCCUUUCUUUCAGAAAUUACAAAGAGGAAAAGGGUUUGGUUAUGGUGGAGGAGGGAAAGGGAGCGUUUAGCCUGUAAAAAAAGAGGCGGUGUUCCGCCUCCCCCCCAAAAUUGUACAGGCGGUCGUGUGCGCCCACGCAUCGAGGUGUUGUAAAAGCUGCCACGGCACUUUUCACCUGUGCAGUGCGAGAUUGGCCAGCCGGUUUAAAAACCCCUCCAAACAAUCAAAGGUUGACCUCGGAUCAGGUAGGGAUACCCGCUGAACUUAAGCAUAUCAAUAAGCGGAGGA
rnacentral:misc_RNA from 1 species